UGGCUCAGAUGGUAAAGUAUCUGCCUGCAGUGCAGGACACCCAGGUUCAAUCCCUGG
rnacentral:tRNA from 1 species